rnacentral:rRNA from 1 species
AGUUGAGAGCUUGCUCUUAACACGAGUGGCGAACGGGUGCGUAACGCGUAUGCAAUCUGCCCUUUUCUGGAGAAUAGCCCUUAGAAAUGAGGAUUAAUACUCCAUAGUAUAAUAGUUUCGCAUGUUACUAUUAUUAAAGCUUCGGCGGAAAAGGAUGAGCAUGCGUCCCAUUAGUUUGUUGGUGAGGUAACGGCUCACCA